rnacentral:rRNA from 1 species
AUGCAGAGAGCGGUCAGGGUGGUGUGGCCUGACUCAUACCACAGGUUGUGCAUAUGGCACAUUCAGCAGAACAUCGUACGCCAUCUGCAUGAUGAUGAGGUUACGGAAGAAUUCAGAUCUUUCAUACAUGACUCGUCUUCUAUUGAAGAGCAUGAGAGAAAAUGGAUAGAGUUCUUACGAAGGAAUGAAGUGACAAAUGAGGAGUCGUGGCUGCAUCAGAUGUAUCAGAUGAGGAAGUUGUGGUGUGCUCCAUACCUAGUGGGGCGCUGUUUCUUAGGAUUGAGCAGCAAUCAGCGAAGUGAGAGACUAAACUCCAUGCUACAUACACAUCUUGAGGGUAAGAUGACAUUGUUUGAUAUGCUAGAGCACUAUGAGUGUUGCCUUUCGGGACGAGCUUGA